rnacentral:tRNA from 1 species
GGGUUGUUAGCUCAGUAGGUAGAGCAGCCGCCUCUUAAGCGGAAGUGGGUAGGUUCAAGUCCUACACAGCCCA